UUCUAUCCUGUGGAUCUUCAUGCCUGUACCUCACCCGUACCUCACUGUUCUGCUCAUAGUAACUGCAAGUUUGAGACCAGGAAGAGUGAUGGGUCUGGUCAUUUCCCUACGGACUUUAGGAUCAGUUUUUCUGUGUCUUUAGAAAAGCACCUGGAGUUUUUAUAGAAAUUGCAUCAAAUCUGUGGGUGAGGCUGGGUGGUGUUGCCACAUCAAUCACAUUGAGACUUCCAAUCCAUGAACACAGAAUGCCUUUCCACUUAUUUAGCUCAUUUCUGAUUCUCAUUACUAUGUUUUGUAAUCUUCAGUGUUCAAAUCUUGCACUUUCUUGGUUAAAUUUAUUCCUAAGUAUUUUAUUCUCUUGUAAAAUGGAGUUGCUUUCUUAUUUUCAAUUUUGGAGUCUCUACUGCUAGCGUACCAAUUAUAGCCUUUGUUUUUCUUUUGUGGUACUGGUCUUGAACCUAGGGACUCACAUGCUAGGUAAGUGGUCUACCAUAGAGCUAUACCCCAGCCCCUGCCUCCAGCCCUUUUUAAACUUAAUUUUGAGACAGGUUCUCACUAAGUUGCCCAGGCUGGUCUUGAACUUGAGAUCCUCCUGUCUUGGCCUUCCAGGAUGCUAGGAUCACAGGUGCACCAUGUCGCCUAGUUUUUUUUUGGCUUCUGCAAACCACUGACUACUUUUCAGAGUUUCUGCUACAGAAAAAAUGGAAAAUACUCAUAAUCAAAAAAGAAACAAAUGAAAAUGGAUCACAGUUCUAUUGCCCAUGUUUGGCUGCCCCCCUGCUUGAUUUCCACUAUAAGAUAUUCUGUCUUGCUGAUUAAUGAAUGUCGGUCUGUCCCUGGGAGUGUGUGGGCUCUGUGGCAGCUGAGGGUCAAGUUCAUAGCAGGUCCCCCAGCAUCAGGAGGGUGGUGCACGUGUGCUGCAGGGGGUGAUUAGAGGGAAGGCUGCCUGAGGGCCUCCAACUACUCAGGCCUCACAAGCGUCCUUCGAGGCAGGGCCUUACUGUUCUAGUCCCACAGGUUGGACACUGAGACACUUGUCUUCCAGCGACCAGCUUCUCCCAGCUGUGGCAUGGCUCACUCUGUGUUCACCUGAGCUCCAGGCUGA
rnacentral:lncRNA from 1 species